AAUUAGUUCGAACGAUUUUAUUUUGAAAACUGAACGUUUUAGGGGGGUCAAAGGAGUUGACUUUUUAUACAUUGGGAAAUUGGGAAAACUUCCUUCAUGAAAGUUGUAGAGCGCGUCGAUACGAGUUCGUGGACAUAUGGAACGUAAUAUUCGGAGUUCGUAUGAAUAAGUUACGAAUAUUUGAAAAUUGGGAUUUUCUAUAAAUAUGAAAAAAAAUCCGAAUAUUGCAAAUGAGGACAGAAUUUCUGGAACUCCAGAAAUUUCUCCCCAUUUCUCUCCCGAGCCCAGCCGCGACCCCCUCCCUUCGUCACCUUCGUUCUUCCUCAUCCGGCCACCGAUUGAUGUGAAACAAAGUGGGUUUUUCUGGUCUCGACCCCCUUUACGAGUUUGUAGAAGAAAUCGAAGUGAAAUACGAGCUGUAUGAGGCUCUACAAGGUCGAGAAGAGAGCCUCGUCGGAGACGAAAUCGCUCUUCCCCACUUUUUCUGGGCUCUACUUUGUCUGGCCAUAUCUUCCUCUACAGGCCUCCGAUCGACCUGAUUCCAAAAGCAAUUUUUCUCACCGUGAAGUUUUCUACAACUUUCCAGAAGACAUCGACUUGAGAUAACCAUCGUGGUGGCCGCUAGAAGACCGAGAAGCCGCACAGCCGAGCUGGAAAUCGUCUUCCUUCGCCACCUUGGUUCUCCCAGCUCCGGCCACUAUAGCUCGAGUUCUUUGAGGGCUUUUCUAGCCCAGAGGAAGUAGAAGCUAUCCCCAAGAAGGCUUGCAGCGAUUUGAUCCGGGGUGAUCGAAUUUUGAAGAUUGGGAAACUAGGGUUCUUCGGGUUUCAAAACUUGCGAGGUGAUUGACGGUCUCCCUUGGGUGAACGAUUUCGGUGUGUAUUGUGUUGAAUUGAAGACGCAGCGGGAAUAUCGAGGUGAGUAAAUCGCACAUGGUUCAUUCACGAACCGAAAUUCGGUGAUUUUAUUUAAUUGAGAAAUUGUGGAAAUUGUUUUACUAAAAUAAAUAUUUGUUUUAAAUUAUAUGGACUUGAUCGACUACGGUCCAUAGGUAAGUAAAAUGUAUUUAAACUAUAAAAAUGAAUUUCUAGAUUUUAUUGCAUGUGAACUAUAGUUGGUAUUAGUGGUCACUCUUGUGUGGGUGACUACGUAUAUAUAUAUUUACGUGGAAUAUAUAUUGGAUGGUGUGAUUUACUGAGUUA